GGCUGAGCCAAAGGUAGUGGGUUAACUCAACUGGUUGAUCACAGUCUGUUGUAGAUUGAACUCCUGGUUCUAUACUUUCCUCCUUCUGCACUUGACUAGAGAU
rnacentral:Y_RNA from 1 species